rnacentral:rRNA from 1 species
UACGAAGGGGGCUAGCGUUACUCGGAUUGACUGGGCGUAAAGGGCGCGUAGGCGGUUUGUACAGUCAGACGUGAAAUUCCUGGGCUCAACCUGGGGGCUGCGUUUGAUACGGGCAGACUUGAGUUCGGUAGAGGGUCGUGGAAUUCCCAGUGUAGAGGUGAAAUUCGUAGAUAUUGGGAAGAACACCGGUGGCGAAGGCGGCGACCUGGUCCGAGACUGACGCUGAGGCGCGAAAGCGUGGGGAGCAAACAGG